rnacentral:rRNA from 1 species
GACGAAUGCUGGCUGCGUGCUUAACACAUGCAAGUCGAACGGUGAAGGGGAGCUUGCUCCCCGGAUCAGUGGCGAACGGGUGAGUAACACGUGGGCAACCUGCCCCUCACUCUGGGAUAACUCCGGGAAACCGGGGCUAAUACCGGAUACGACCGGGAGCGACAUCGCUCCUGGUGGAAAGAACUUCGGUGAGGGAUGGGCCCGCGGCCUAUCAGCUAGUUGGUGGGGUAACGGCCCACCAAGGCGACGACGGGUAGCCGGCCUGAGAGGGCGACCGGCCACACUGGGACUGAGACACGGCCCAGACUCCUACGGGAGGCAGCAGUGGGGAAUAUUGCGCAAUGGGCGAAAGCCUGACGCAGCGACGCAGCGUGAGGGACGAAGGCCUUCGGGUUGUAAACCUCUUUCAGCGGGGACGAAGCGAAAGUGACGGUACCCGCAGAAGAAGCACCGGCUAACUACGUGCCAGCCGCCGCCGUAAAAC